rnacentral:rRNA from 1 species
AAUGCAAGUCGAGCGAGAUUUUCUUUAGUAGCAAUACCGAAGGAAGUCUAGCGGCGAACGGGUGCUUAACACGUGGGCAACCUGCCGAGAAGUGGGGGAUAGCUCGCCGAAAGGCGAAUUAAUACCGCAUGUGAUUAGAGUGGACAUCCAUUCAAAAUUAAAGUCGGGGCAACCUGACGCUUUUUGUGGGGCCCGCGGCCUAUCAGCUAGUUGGUGAGGUAACGGCCCACCAAGGCUUUGACGGGUAGCUGGUCUGAGAGGACGACCAGCCACACUGGGACUGAGACACGGCCCAGACACCUACGGGUGGCAGCAGUCGAGAAUUUUUCUCAAUGGGGGAAACCCUGAAGGAGCGACGCCGCGUGGAGGAUGAAGGUCUUCGGAUUGUAAACUCCUGUCAUUGGGGAACAAGUCGCUUACGUUAACUGCGUGAGCGUUGAUAGUACCCGAAGAGGAAGAGACGGCUAACUCUGUGCCAGCAGCCGCGGUAAUACAGAGGUCUCAAGCGUUGUUCGGAUUCAUUGGGCGUAAAGGGUGCGUAGGCGGCGCGGUAAGUCGGGUGUGAAAUCUCGGAGCUUAACUCCGUAACUGCAUUCGAUACUGCCGUGCUUGAGGACUGGAGAGGAGACUGGAAUUUACGGUGUAGCGGUGAAAUGCGUAGAUAUCGUAAGGAAGACCAGUGGCGAAGGCGGGUCUCUGGACAGUUCCUGACGCUGAGGCACGAAGGUCAGGGGAGCAAACGGGAUUAGAUACCCCGGUAGUCCUGACAGUAAACGGUGCACGUUU